rnacentral:rRNA from 1 species
AUGAACGCUAGCUACAGGCUUAACACAUGCAAGUCGAGGGGCAGCAUGGACAUAGCUUGCUAUGUUUGAUGGCGACCGGCGCACGGGUGCGUAACACGUAUCCAAUCUGCCCGUUACUCGGGGAUAGCCUUCUGAAAGGAAGAUUAAUACCCGAUGGCAUUCAUUAGCGGCAUCGCUUAUGAAUUAAAGAUUAUAUCGCUGAAAGAUGGGCUCGCGUACGAUUAGAUAGUUGGUGAGGUAACGGCUCACCAAGUCGACGAUCGUUAGCCGGACUGAGAGGUUGAACGGCCACAUUGGGACUGAGACACGGCCCAGACUCCUACGGGAGGCAGCAGUGAGGAAUAUUGGUCAAUGGACGAGAGUCUGAACCAGCCAAGUAGCGUGCAGGAUGACGGCCCUCUGGGUUGUAAACUGCUUUUAGUUGGGAAUAAAAAGAGGGACGUGUCCCUAAUUGUAUGUACCAUCAGAAAAAGGACCGGCUAAUUCCGUG